GACAGAGGGUGCAAACGUUGUUCGGAUUUACUGGGCGUAAAGCGCGUGUAGGCGGCUUGGCAAGUUGAAUGUGAAAGCCCACGGCUCAACCGUGGAAGCGCAUCCAAAACUGCUUCGCUCGAGUCUCGGAGAGGAAGGUGGAAUGCUUGGUGUAGAGGUGAAAUUCGUAGAUAUCAAGCAGAACACCUGCGGCGAAGGCGGCCUUCUGGACCGGUAUUGACGCUGAGGCGCGAAAGCCAGGGGAGCAAACGGG
rnacentral:rRNA from 1 species